rnacentral:rRNA from 1 species
GGGCCCGCACAAGCGGUGGAGCAUGUGGUUUAAUUCGAUGCAACGCGAAAAACCUUACCUACUCUUGACAUACUUGGGAGCUCUUGUAAUGAGAGUGUGCCUUUUGGAACCAAGAUACAGGUGCUGCAUGGCUGUCGUCAGCUCGUGUCGUGAGAUGUUCCGUUAAGUCGGAUAACGAGCGCAACCCUUACCCUUAUUUGCCAGCGAUUCGGUCGGGAACUAUAAGGGGACUGCCGGUGAUAAACCGGAGGAAGGUGAGGACGACGUCAAGUCAUCAUGGCCCUUACGAGUAGGGCUACACACGUGCUACAAUGGGGAAUACAGACGGACGCUAAGCCGCGAGGGGAGCCAAUCCGACAAACCUAGUCGUAGUCCGGAUCGGAGUCUGCAACUCGACUCCGUGAAGUCGGAAUU